rnacentral:tmRNA from 1 species
GGGGGCGACAGGUUUCGACGGGGAUCAGUGAGGUCCAGGCUGCGUCUCGAGGUUUCUCACCCCUCGUUAAUAAGUGAGAACGGUAUAGCUGCCAACACACAGCUAGCCCUGGCGGCCUAACACCCGCCAGCGUCCGCCGUCCUGAGCCAUCGGGGGGCGGGAACGGACGUCAUACACCGCUGGCUGGCUCCGAACCUGGCCUCAGGGGAGGGGCGAGACAAUGAGGCUGGUCCCGCGGUGAUCCUGCCGAUCGGAGUGCCGCGGGGCGAGAGGUUGGAGAGUAGACCGGCUAUCGACGUA